rnacentral:rRNA from 1 species
AACGAACGCUGGCGGCAUGCCUAACACAUGCAAGUCGAACGAGACCUUCGGGUCUAGUGGCGCACGGGUGCGUAACGCGUGGGAACCUGCCUUUAGGUUCGGAAUAACUCAGAGAAAUUUGAGCUAAUACCGGAUAAAUGUCUUCGGACCAAAGAUUUAUCGCCUUUAGAUGGGCCCGCGUUGGAUUAGCUAGUUGGUGGGGUAAAGGCCUACCAAGGCGACGAUCCAUAGCUGGUCUGAGAGGAUGAUCAGCCACACUGGGACUGAGACACGGCCCAGACUCCUACGGGAGGCAGCAGUGGGAAUAUUGGACAAUGGGCGAAAGCCUGAUCCAGCAAUGCCGCGUGAGUGAUGAAGGCCUUAGGGUUGUAAAGCUC